rnacentral:rRNA from 1 species
UACGAAGGGUGCAAGCGUUACUCGGAAUUACUGGGCGUAAAGCGUGCGUAGGCGGUUUGUUAAGUCCGCUGUGAAAGCCCUGGGCUCAACCUGGGAAUUGCAGUGGAUACUGGCAAGCUAGAGUGCGGUAGAGGAUGGUGGAAUUCCCGGUGUAGCGGUGAAAUGCGCAGAUAUCAGGAGGAACACCAAUGGCGAAGGCAGCUCGCUGGAACGGUACUGACGCUGAGGCGCGAAAGCGUGGGGAGCGAACAGG